CAGUUUAUUACUUUUGUGAUACCAGUUAACUUUGACUAGCAAAACUUACUAGAUAUAAAACAGUUAUACAUAUAAAUGUGCAGACAGAUUACAAGUAAAAGGUUAAAUCUGUAAUAGUUCAUGUUAUCAAUAAUACAUAUUAAACUUAUUUUAAAACAGUGCAAAAUUUGCUUUAUUUUAGGUAUAUAUAAGGAAUGAUUUUAGACACUGGAAACUUAUAAAAUGAUAUAAAAAUAAAAAUAAAGAAAAAACAGUCAUUAAAUAUGACAAUUCUCAGAAAAGAUUCAUAAUACAUGUAAAAUAAAAUAUACUUGUUAUCACAGAUCAAUAUCAUAACAAAAAUCAAAAUGAUUUCUACAGCUAUAUAUGACUGAAAUACAGAUAUUGUCUCAUUCCAUUGCUUAUAUUUUGGAUCUGACAAUGGUCAGUUCUAUUUUCUGUUUUAACAACCUUUAAGAUUCCUCUUGGUUAGUCUGAAUAAUACACAAUCAAAUUUGGAAGUAGACAUGUCAUUGCCUAGUUUUAUAAAUACCAGAAAGUAGAAAGAGUAUUGUCAGAUCAAUGUUAGGGAAGCAUGGAAAAAGUAUCUGUAACUGAAUCGGAUUAUUUCUACACUUAUCUAAAUUAGUUUCUUUCCCUAUGCUAUUACAAUAUACUUUAACUCUAAAAAAUUACAUGAUUGUAAAUAUUUUUAUCUCCAAACAAAAAGUUAGUUUUAUGAGCAUCCAAGUCACUAAAUCCGAUUUCUAAUUAGAUGUAUUUCAAUCUCUAUAUACAUAUAAGAUGAGAAAAAGCUUUUGGACUGAACAUGGAGAAUUACUUAAGUUACAAAGUGAUUCUUAAGAUAUAUGAGUCAUUCUCUAAUUGGGAAGACUUACAAAGUCGUGAUGCCUGGCAUAUGAAUUUACUAGCUUGGCGGGCUAGCCUUCCUAUUACUGGGGAGACUGAUUUUAUGCUGGCAAAGUAUUUUUUCAAGACCUUUAUAUGCAUAUUCAUGGAGAAAUUUCAUUUUGAAUUCUUAUUUUCCAUUUUAUUUGCUUUUUCAACAUUUACUAGAAACAAAUAUAAACAAAUAAAAGUAUAUAAAUUAGUUUGUUUAUAUAUACUUUUACAUAGUUUGAGUAGUUAUAGAUAAACAAUACUGAGUAAAAAUUUUAAAAAUACCCAUUUAAACAAACAAAAAGAUGUAAACAACAAUACAUAACAAGUAAACAUAGAAAUAUAAUUCUUAAUCAAAUAAUUUGAAAUACAGAGAAAAGCCUUAUCUUAUCUAGUUCUGUCUAGUGCUCAAUGCAAACAAAUAUGUAAUACCUUAGAAACCCUGAUGUAUGUGAAGUGACACUAGUUAAAAGAGGAUAUGAAUAGGGUACCACUCAUGAAGAAUGACAGUAGAAUAAUUGUUUAAAUAACUUUAACAAUAAGAAUUAAACUCCAUUUUAUGCUAACUGUAGCUACAAAAUGAGAUUCGAUGAUUGGCCAUACAAAAUUCAGGCUCAUUUGAGGUUAUAACAGUAGUAAAAAAACUGACGUUUGAUGCUUUGUGAUAAGGCUCUUUUAAGAAAUAGAAAUGUAUUAAUAGUAAAAAAAUAUAAUUAUUAUGUAUCCAAAUCCUCACACAUAUAGUAAAAAUUCAAUGAAAAUGUACAAGAUUGAUAUAUAAUUUGCUGAGAUGAAA
rnacentral:lncRNA from 1 species